GUCCAAAGCCCUGGUGAAGGACUGAUGAAUUCUCCAGGAAUUGCUCUUCUCCUACUCUGCACGUGGGGAUUCCCCGACUCCUUCCCACCCAGGGUCUCCCCUCCUCAUCAGAUACAGACACUUGGGCCAAGAUCUGAAGCCAAGAGUUGGCCUCUGGGCUCAGCACCUGGAGAGCAAACAGAUACACCCAAUGUGGCCCCAAGAAAGGCAGAGACAAGCACCGCGGGAGCCUGAGGCCACGUCUCCCUGCAGGGCCAGGGGGCAAGCCCCAUCCCAGGAGUGGAAGAGAGGAGGGGGCCGGGAGGCCCUGGUGGAUGCGACGCAGAAGCAGGCCACGACCGACCGUGCUGCUGCCCUUUGCUGUGGUCCCGCUUUCCUCCGGGAUGUCCCGAGUGGCUUCACUGGAAGUCAUCCUCCUGGAGGACCUGGAGGAGGGAAGCACUGGGCCUCAGGACCUCCAAGCCAAUCAUCUGAGCCUGGGGCUCUCAGGGCUGAGAAAAGACCGGGGUUUUGGGUGUGUGUGCAUGUGUGCCUGUGUGUGUGUGUGUGCCUCUGUGUGUGUGUGCCUCCGUGUGUGUGUAGGCGUGUGUGCCUCCGUGUGUAUCUGUGUGUGUGUGUCUGCAGACCUCAGAGAGGGAGGCUUCACCCUGCGGCCGGAGGAGGUGGUGAACUCAGGGUGCGUCCCCGCCGAGCCUCUCGUGUCCUGCCGCCGCCGCGCGAGGGGCCUGCCUCGGCUACUCCCAGGCGCACAGGGGCCUGAGCCGGCGGGCGCCGAGAACCUGGGCCCAGGGACGGCCUGGACCCCACCGACACUGGCCCAGGAGCGCAGCCUCAGUCUCACUGCCGGGUCGGUUCUGCCCAAGGUCACCGCGCGCCGCUCGGAUUCCCCGCCUCCCGCGCCCCCCGCCUCGUCUCCGAGUCG
ensembl:lncRNA